CCACUGCUUUCCUCCCCUCCCUGCAACACACAGCAGCUGGAGCUUCUCCGUCUGCCUCGUCUCGCCUCUCGGCUGCCACAGCUGAUGUCCCUCUCUGUCUCUAUCUCUCCUUUUCUCCACCCUUCCUCUGCCUCCGAGUUUCUCUUUCUUUUCCCUUUAUCAUCUAGAUGAAUCCGACUGGAGUUUGGACUUAGGCCUGCGCUAAGCAGAAGGGAACCUGCGAUCUGUGAAGAGGGCACCAUUUGAAAGAAGAUUUUCUUUUAAUGUUGAUGAGAAGGAAGACUUUAAAUAACUGCAAAAUCCUUCCUCGCAUGAGAUACUUGAAAAGGUGCAUUAAAAUGAAUCCCAAAAGAAGGCAAUCUUCCCGUCCCGAAUGACUGCGAUUUAGCAGACCUUGGAAACUUGCUGGAUCUUGUUUUAUUGUUGUUCUUGUCCGUGUGUGUUAAGAUGCUGAUGUAGCCGGAUUUGAAACAUCAGAUGCUGAGAAUGUUGCUGUGUAUGGAUGAGGAUGGUAACCGAAUAAUUGAUUUUUAAAAUCAGCCUUCUUGAGCAAGUGCAGAGGAGGGGAGAGACUGCUGUUGAAGUGAAGGCUCCUUGGCUGGAAAUUGAAAUGUUUGUUGCCAGAUUUUCCUAGAAAAGACUUUACUAGGCUAAUUAUGCGUUGUGAAGGAAUCUUUGGCGAAGGCAACAGCCCUAGUCAGAAGGCUUUUCUAUUUUCUGUUCGGGCAUUGUGUGUGAUCAUACCAUAGGAUAGUACGAAGUGUGUGUCGUUCAUUUAUGCUGGGUUAACCGCCUCCUUUUUGCUCACUAUUGAGAUUCCGAUCCUGCAGUCCUUAUUCAGACAAGACUCCAGUUGAUGUCAAUAGGAGUCUUGUUUGAGUAAGGAUUGCAGGAUUGGACCAUACAAUUGGACAGUAAGUACCUGUAAAUGUUGUGGAAUGCAUCCAUUCGGCUAUGGAUAGAGGUAGUUUACACAUGGGAGAAAUGCCUUCCAGAUCAUGACAUUGCUCUUGCAUGCAAUGCAACUGGAUCCUCUCUGACCUCUAUGUGAUGAUUGCUUGAAUAAUACCAGGAUCUGGUGUAACAUAUCCAUUCAAGUUUUCCCUCAUUUUAAGUUCUGUAUGGUGUACUCUAGUAAUGGAUAGAGCACCGAAGUGGGACUCAGGAGACCUGGAUUCUAUUUCUGGCUCUACCACUGGCCUCCUGGGUGACCUUGGGUAACUCACUUCAUCUCAGCUUCCCCAUCUGUAAAAGGAGGAUAAUGAUACUUACCUCCUUUGUAAAACGCUUUGAGAUCUCUAAAUAAAAAGUGAUAUACAAGAGCUUUUUAUUAUUACCAUUAUUUCUGUUUAAUGAUUAUUCAAUUCAUAUGUAAUAUGUACUGAUUUCUGCACAGAAUUUUUUGGAAGGUCUUCGAUAUAUCUGCAUAAAUAAAAAGCCCUCACAAGACAGUUUAUAUUUUUAAAUAAAUUAAUAAAACUUGCUGGCAAUUUAAAAAACUUUUGUGCACAAUUUUGGGAAUUCAUUGCAUAUAUGUUCUAUGGGUAGAAUGCAGUGUAGCUCAACUAGCAUUCUAAAUUUAUCAAGUUAUUGAGGAUUUUGGUAUUAAGUCUGAGUUACAGUAGUGAAUAGGAGUAAGGCAAUGAUGAAUGCUAUUUGCCAAGAAUGUAAAUAUAAAGUAAUGCUUAUUGCAUUGACUCUUAUCCACAGGCACAAAUAAUUGCACCAUAUAAUUAAUUCACUGGGGAAUAUUCAUCUUGAGAAGUAAAUAACCUUAAGGUCAGGUGAAACUUUCAGUGAUACGGAUUAAAAAAAAACCAACCCAGCCAAAGUAGCCUGCAGCGUAGGGAAUAAGAUAUGUGUACAGAUAACUAUGUUAUGAUUUUCAGGUUUACAAUCUGGCAGUGACCAUUUAUUUUCUCCAAUAUAGGAACUGAGUGUAAAAUUCUAUCCCAUUGCAAGUUUCCUUAUACUAGUUCUUUAGUAUAAUCAAGCAACAGGAAAUUCGGAUAACAUAGCACGAAAUGAUUCAUUUUCUUUUUCUUGUAAAGUAACUACAAAACCUUUUUUUUCCCCCCAGUCCAGAAGCUCUAAGACUCAUUUUAGGAACUUACAUUAAUACAACUGUAUUAAGAAUUUUUCUUUUUGUGUGAAAUGUUCAAGCCAUGUAUAAUUCAAGAGAGCAAAUUGUGCCCUCCUGUAGGGGAAAAACAUAGAAAGCUACAAAACUCCCAGAGUUUCAGUUUAGAGUUAUUUCCAAAUAAUCCUAUUAGGAGUGGAUUCUAACCUUUAGAUAUCCAGAUGUCACAAGAUCAGUAUUUAUACAAAUGUUCUUUGGGAGUAUCCACAAAGGGCUCCCUGUGGCUAAUACUCCAGCCAAGCAGGUGUCUGCCUUCUGCAGCAAAUGCAAUUUCUGAGUGAGCUUCAAGGAUAGCCCAUGUAGAGCAAAUAGCAGUAAUCCAAUAUCAACAUCUUAACGGAAUGGCCAGUGGUAAGGAGAUCCACAUGAGAGAGAACUGAUCAGUCACCUUACAAGAUGCAGAUGCGAAAAGAGUUUUGUCACUGAAAGAACUUUGAAAUCCAGAAAAAGAAUAUGAGGAUCCAAAAGCAUGCUGUGAUGGGGUGUACCAGGCCCUUCAUAGCCCCUUCCUGGAGGUCUUGUGGUCCUACUACACCUCACCCCAGGAAAGGAGUAGCGAAGCUGGGUCCUUCAGUUGUGCCUAGAGAGGCUGCAUGAAAGCAGUAAACCAGAGUCCAUCAGGCUCAGAUAAAAUGGGACCAAAGGGUAAGGAAGAGUGCUCCUCUCUGGCCAAAGGAACUUGAGCAACAACCAGAGAGUGAGGACCUGAGAACUUUAACCAUGAGGUAAGAGGUGAAGAUAAAAGGGCCAGGUGGAAAGAGGCCCAGGUAAAUAGCAGUAACAAAUUUAAGUGGCUGCUGUUUAUAGGGCUUCGGGGUUAGAACCCAAAGUAGUGGGCAGGCCCAGGUUCUCCCACCAACCACUGGUGAAGUGCUAUAAAUCCCUAAAAGGGGACAAGGCUUGUUUGGAAGCCCAAUGAAGGACUGAAUUUUAAGGGCACUGUCCCCAACAUACCUUCCAGAUACUUCCUCCCCACUUACUAACCUCUGUCUUUUCUGGACUGAAUUUCAGAUGGAUCUUUUCCGUCAAAGAUAUUGUAUUGGCUAGACACUGGAAAAGCAAACUCACUCUCUAGGUUUUAUGAUUAAAGAAACAUAAAAUUCCAUGAUAGUUACAUACCCAUACAGGGAAAGCAAAUUUCAAAUCCUGUGGAGCCCCACAUGAGAGCUAUGAGGAUUAAUAAGUAAAUUCCUAACACACUCUGAGAUCUUUCUGAGAAGCACUAAAGUAAUUCUGUCUUUUCUGUCAGGAUGUGCAAGUGAAUCAGUACACCUUCAUGAUCAAGGGAAUCAAAGGUUGUUAAAGUCAGCAUAAACAUUUGACCUCUAUCCCUUGCAAGAAGAUGGGCUAGAUUCACAAAAAAAGGCAAAAAACCUAAAGACAGAAGAAUAUCUCAAUUAGAGAUGCAUCAUAUGUAAUUUUCAAACAAUCAUAAUUCUUUAAAAAAACAAUUAUUCAAACUUAGAAAAGUCCAUUUUCCAUUUAGUGGUUUAUUUGUUUUCCAACUUUUAAAGUUUCUUCAUUUGUUUUUACUCUCCCAUAUUUUAAAAUUGUCUAAAUGAUUUUCCCCUCAGAUUUUCCGAAAAUAAUUUACCUUUGGACAGAGACAAAGCCUAGAAAGAUUCAGCUCAAAACAUGUGUCUGUUGGAGGCUAAUAGGGGAAGAUUGUGUAUUGUUUUUAAAUCAUAUGUGAGUGAAAAUAGGAAGUUAUAAUGGAAAUUGUUUUGAAAUCUUAAGUAUGAUAAACAUGGUCAGUGACAGGUGCAAUGUUAAUUUUAAGAAUUUAAUUUCAAUGGAGUUUAUCUUUGUAUAUUUUUUAGGAGUAUAUUAAUCUACAAACUCAUGUUUGUUACUGUUUCAGUUAUAUUACAGUAAUGCUUAGGAGCCCUAACCAGGAUUGCAUCCAUUCUGUUAGCCAGUGUACAAACAUAAGAAGACACAGUCCCUGGCCUGAGGAGACUCCAAACCACUGCAGCCAGACUGACCCAUCUGUUCCUUGGAGCUUGUCUAUAAAAAGGGGAGAGAGACGUCCCUUAGAAUUUUACCUCAGGGCACCUGGCAUUGGCCACUGUCGGAUAACAGGAUACUGGGCUAGAUGGACCUUUGGUCUGAUCCAAUAUGGCCGUUCUUAUGUUCUUAUGCACAUAUGUUGUAUAUGACAGCAGUGGACUCAGUUUUCUUACUAGAAAGGGCUUCAUUUACACAACGUAAACUCUGCAGUUGCAACCACAGCCAUCAAAAGUGAAAAGAGAAGGCAAUCAUUUUGAAUAACAAUUGCAGAUUUUGUUCAGUUCAUCCCACAAGAGAAAUGUCUGCUGAUUUACUUGGAGAACUUGUACAACAAUGAAGUGUAAACAAGGCUACUGUAUUCAUUCUUUAUCUAAACUCAUAAUUUCGCGACUGAAGAGAAUCUGCUGAAAAGGUGAUAUUUUUAGGCUACAUGAGCCUCCAUAAGAUACACCCAGAAUGUACGUGGCUCACCAUCAGAACGAAAUCUAGAACAACUCACUGAUGUGAUGGAAACUUAGCAGCUAAAACUCCCCAGCAAGGUCAGGUUUGAGAGAGAGAAAACAAAUGAACAAAUCACAAAAUCCUUUAAUGAAACUAGAGUGCUUGUAAUGGAGUCUCUCUUACAUCUGUCUUUUCCACCAUUAACCAACAGUAUGGACCCUCAGUUUCAUUCUCUGUGGUCUUUCACAGGAUUACAGGCCACUGUUGUGCUUUUGACUCUGGUGAAAAUCCAAAGUCUAUACUUUCUUCUUCUGAAAUAAACAGCUGUACAACACAAAA